rnacentral:sRNA from 1 species
AUUUAGCCCCGAUUGAAAUGGAAAUCCUGCCAUUGCGAGCGGCGAUUAAUUUUAUUUUCAAGGGAUUGCUUCGCUCCGCUCGCAAUGGCAGAUUGUAAUGGAAAGCGGGAACAAUG